rnacentral:misc_RNA from 1 species
UUUUUUGUUAUAAUUUGUUUACAUUCUUUGACUAAUGUUAAAAAGUAAAGCCACAAGCUUGCAACAAAAAGAGCUGUUACACUCUCUAUUACAAAACUUGCCGAAUAGUGCACAGAGUUUGGGAUUGUGGAGGUUAGGCCUCUGAGUAGAGUGCCCAAAAUUCACUAAUGAUCCUUCCGCAGGUUCACCUACGGAAA